rnacentral:lncRNA from 1 species
CUCAGUUCAUUGCCAAUGUCAAAAUCUUUAGAACCAAUAACUGAAUAGAGUGUGCAGAGAUUAAUAUGGACCCAAUAUUUGCAACAAAAUGAGACAAUUCAUCAUAGUUCAUGCAUGCAACACCACAACAAGACAUAUUCGGCCAAGGUUGAUCACAGAGGCAGAAGCAAGAGAAGACAACUUGAUUUCUUCAAAUUUCGGUUUCAUCUCAUAUUCUCUUGUAUUAUAUUUCCACGUUAUAUAUCAAGCUUUCCUAAUAUUAAGCUUUGCGAAUAUAAAUGAAAGAAAUUUCUUUUUCUUAUAAGGAGUCUUUUUAAUUUUUCCUUUCUUUUUAUGCAUGUAUAUUUAAGCCUUAAUGCUAUUACAAAACAUGUAUAAACAUGAAUGCGACAUGAAAACUCCAUGAACAUGAUCAGGAGCUCUAGAGUUCUAAAAUCAUCUUCUUGCUGAUAUUAAACAAAUCUCG